AGUGUGCUAGAAAAAGAAAAGGUGUGUCCAAUGUGUUGUAAACAAGGGGAAACAAAUAUGACCACAGUUAAGCUCAUAAUUUGGAACAGAGUGAAGAUGUAACUGCUGCAAUUGCCUCGUCUGCAUCAAACUGGCUUCCUCCCCACCCCGCCCCUAACGAACAGAGAAAUAU